rnacentral:rRNA from 1 species
GAGUUUGAUCAUGGCUCAGAUUGAACGCUGGCGGCAUGCCUUGCACAUGCAAGUCGAACGGCAGCACGGGAGCUUGCUCCUGGUGGCGAGUGGCGAACGGGUGAGUAAUGCAUCGGAACGUAUCCUGGAGUGGGGGAUAACGUAGCGAAAGUUACGCUAAUACCGCAUAUUCUGUGAGCAGGAAAGCGGGGGACCUUCGGGCCUCGCGCUCUUGGAGCGGCCGAUGUCGGAUUAGCUAGUUGGUGAGGUAAAGGCUCACCAAGGCGACGAUCCGUAGCAGGUCUGAGAGGAUGAUCUGCCACACUGGAACUGAGACACGGUCCAGACUCCUACGGGAGGCAGCAGUGGGGAAUUUUGGACAAUGGGGGCAACCCUGAUCCAGCCAUGCCGCGUGAGUGAAGAAGGCCUCGGUUGUAAG